rnacentral:rRNA from 1 species
UCCCUACGGGGCGCAGCAGUGGGGAAUCUUCCGCAAUGGGCGCAAGCCUGACGGAGCAAUGCCGCGUGAACGAAGAAGGUCUUCGGAUUGUAAAGUUCUGUCCUUAUCGAAGAGAGGGUAUAGAGUGAAAAAUGAUAUACUAGGACGGUAGAUGAGGAGGAAGCCCCGGCUAACUACGUGCCAGCAGCCGCGGUAAUACGUAGGGGGCGAGCGUUGUCCGGAAUUACUGGGUGUAAAGGGAGCGCAGGCGGAUUGACAAGUUGGGAGUGAAAACUACGGGCUCAACCCGUAACCUGCUUUCAAAA